GGAGUUGUGCCUGAACUUUAAAGGAUCACUUUGAUAGAGUGUAUCAUGAGGGUUAAAAUCCCUCCAACUCCU